rnacentral:lncRNA from 1 species
AAGAAAAUGAAUGCUGGAAACAAGAGCAGAAAAAUAAUCUAACAAAGGGACAUGAUGAUCCCGAUGCUAGCCCAAUCUAUCGAGGGUUGAAUCCCUACGAUAGCCCAAGGCCUUUCGGCCGAAUUCCCCUAUGGGAUCAAAGAUCAAAAGAUCAAUAUUGAUUAACUUCGCAAAAGAUGAUUACAAAGUGCCUAAUGGCACCCUUAAAUAGACAAAUGCUAAGUGCUGAAAUUUCAGCUUAUGAGUGGGCUUAAUUCGAAUUCAAAUUCGAAAUUAGUAGUGGGAACUAAUUCGAAUUUGAAUUUGAAUUCCAACCUUUCCUUAAUCGGCCAAGAGUGGCCUUUAUUUGAAUUCAAAAUUUGAAUUCAAAUUACUCAAGCAAACUAUCCUUAUUUGGCCUCUAAUCAGCCAUAUUUGAAUUCAAACUCAUUUGAAUGGGUGGGCGCCCAAUCAAUUUGGGAAUGUGCAGAUUUGGGCUGGUUGCACCUUCCAUGCUGCUUCCGCCAAGUGUCCGUGGUCCCUUGCCAUGUGUCGCCCUUUGGUGAAGGUGUC